GCAAAUGCAGCGUCUACUUGGGUCAAAGGGUAGACAUUUAAGGGGGAUAGAUUAGGAUUUAUAAUUAACUAAGCUUAGAACGGUUAAGAUUUAGCUUAUUAAUAUAAUGUCACGCAUUCAUUAAAUUAAAUCAGCCAAACAUAUUGGUUUGUGGCAGGACCUUUAAAUCCCACCUUAAAUGGGAUUAUCCCAGAUUAAUGAAGCGAUGAUGAUGGUAGGGACAAUUAUUUUGGUGACAUUUAUUGUCUUACUAGCCAUUUUAAUAGGUUGGCUAAUUGUUUGGAAAUGUUUUCUCCUACAAUUCCAAUUUGUAAGAGAGCUAUGUGGUAAAUAUGACAAAAAUGAUAGUAAAAAGAACUCAAAAUCAUCGAAAAUUCUCUAAUUUUUAACAUAGUUUUUAAUGCUAUUUAUUUAUUCAAUUGAAUAUAUUUUUAGAGCUUAUAAAUAUAUCACGUUUUAGCUUUAUAAAUGUUAUUUAUUAUUAUAAAUUAUGUUAUUUAAUUUUAAAUAUAAUAUUUACAAGAAUAAAAUUAUAAUGCCAAUA